rnacentral:rRNA from 1 species
GACGAACCGUGCGAACGUUAUUCGGAAUCACUGGGCUUAAAGCGCGUGUAGGCGGGCCGGCACGUCGGAUGUUGAAAUCCCCCGGCUCAACCGGGGAAGGGGCGCCGAUACGACCGGCCUGGAGGAACGUAGGGGGAGCUGGAACUUCCGGUGGAGCGGUGAAAUGCGUUGAGAUCGGAAGGAACGCCCGUGGCGAAAGCGAGCUCCUGGACGUUUUCUGACGCUGAGACGCGAAAGCCAGGGGAGCGAACGGG